CUGGCGGCAUGCUUAACACAUGCAAGUCGAACGAACUCUUCGGAGUUAGUGGCAGACGGGUGAGUAACGCGUGGGAACCUACCUUUAGGUACGGAAUAACAGUUAGAAAUGACUGCUAAUACCGUAUGUGCCCGAGAGGGGAAAGAUUUAUCGCCUAAAGAUGGGCCCGCGUUGGAUUAGCUAGUUGGUGAGGUAACGGCUCACCAAGGCGACGAUCCAUAGCUGGUCUUAGAGGAUGAUCAGCCACACUGG
rnacentral:rRNA from 1 species